rnacentral:rRNA from 1 species
AGGUAGUGACGAGAAAUAACAAUACAGGGCAUUUUAUGCUCUGUAAUUGGAAUGAUGGGAAUGUAAAACCCUCUCAGAGUAACAAUUGGAGGGCAAGUCUGGUGCCAGCAGCCGCGGUAAUUCCAGCUCCAAUAGUGUAUAUUAGAGUUGUUGCAGUUAAAAAGCUCGUAGUUGGAUUUCUGUCGUGGUCAUCCGGUACCGCCCGUAUGGGUGUGCACCUGGUUUGACCUCGGCUUUCUUCCGGUAGCCUUCGGCGCUUCAUUGCGUGGUUGGUGUUCCGGAACUUUUACUUUGAGAAAAAUAGAGUGUUUCAAGCAGGCUUGUCGCCCUGAAUACUUCAGCAUGGAAUAAUAAGAUAGGACCUUGGUUCUAUUUUGUUGGUUUCUAGGACCAAGGUAAUGAUUAAUAAGGA